GACGAACGCUGGCGGCGUGCUUAACACAUGCACGUCGAACGAAGUGGCGAACGGGUGAGUAACGCGUAAUCAACCUGCCCUUCAGAGGGGGACAACAGUUGGAAACGACUGCUAAUACCGCAUACUGACGGCGGGGAAUGCGUCUGAUUAGCUAGUGGGCGGGGUAACGGCCCCCCAAGGCGAUGACCAGUAGCCGGUCGGAGAGGAUGAACGGCAACACUGGGACUGAGACACGGCCCAGACUCCUAAGGGAGGCAGCAGGUGGGAAUCUUCCGCAAUGGACUAAAGUCUGACGGAGCAACGCCGCGGGAGUGAUGACGGCCUUCGGGUUGUAAAGCUCUGUUAAUCGGGACGCGUUACCGGAAUAGAAAGCCACGGCUAACUACGUGCCAGCAGCCGCGGUAAUUC
rnacentral:rRNA from 1 species